GCCUGGCUGGCUCAGUCAGUAGAACAUGUGACUCUUAAUCUCAGUGUCUUGAGUUCAAGCCCCAUGUUGGGCA
rnacentral:tRNA from 1 species